rnacentral:rRNA from 1 species
UACAGAGGGUGCGAGCGUUAAUCGGAAUUACUGGGCGUAAAGCGCGCGUAGGCGGCUUUGCAAGUCGGGUGUGAAAUCCCCAGGCUUAACCUGGGAACUGCAUUCGAGACUGCAUUGCUAGAGUAUGGGAGAGGGAAGUGGAAUUUCCGGUGUAGCGGUGAAAUGCGUAGAUAUCGGGAGGAACACCGGUGGCGAAGGCAGCCCCCUGGGCCAACACUGACGCUCAGGCACGAAAGCGUGGGGAGCAAACAGG